rnacentral:rRNA from 1 species
AUUGAACGCUGGCGGCAUGCUUUACACAUGCAAGUCGGACGAGUGGCGAACGGGUGAGUAACGCAUAGGCACGUACCGAGUAAUGGGGGAUAACUGUCCGAAAGGACAGAUAAUACCGAAUAUUAUUCGGGCGGCCGAUGUCUGAUUAGCUGGUUGGCGGGGUAAAGGCCCACCAAGGCGCCGAUCAGUAGUGGGUCUGAGAGGAUGAUCCGCCACACUGGGACUGAGACACGGCCCAGACUCCUACGGGAGGCAGCAGUGGGGAAUUUUGGACAAUGGGCGCAAGCCUGAUCUAGCCAUGCCGCGUGUCUGAAGAAGGCCUUCGGGUUGUAAAGGACUUUUGUCAGGGAAGCGGUACCUGAAGAAUAAGCACCGGCUAACUACGUGCCAGCAGCCGCGGUAAUAC